GAUUUCAACUGAAAAAGUUAUCAACAACAAAAUUGUAUAACUCAUCAAGAUCUAUAACUUUUUAUUUUGGUCAUUUCUUCAUCCAACAAAGUGACAGUAACAUUGUUCAUAAAAUUUACAUAUAUCUCAUUUGGUUUUAUAAACUAUAAGAGAGAUAUGUAAAUUUUGUGAACAUUGUUACUAUCGCUUUGUCGGAUGAAGAAAUAACCAAAAUAAAAGUUGUAUGUCUUGAUGAGUUCUACAACUUUUAUGUUCAUGACUUUUUCAGCUUAAAUU
rnacentral:pre_miRNA from 1 species